rfam:Lysobacter capsici AZ78 unitig_0_1_merged, whole genome shotgun sequence.
GCGGCACGCAUGGAUGCGUGCCGUAGGCCACCCAGGACAUGGAUGUCCUGUGUGGCC